GGCUUCGUAGUUCAACUGGAUAGAAUUUCGGAUUUCGGCUCCGAAGGUUGCAGGUUCUGAACCCUGCCGAGGUCA
rnacentral:tRNA from 1 species